CCCGUCCAGUAUGAACGCCAAAAUACCAAUCCUCAAUAGCCCGUCCGGUUUGAGGCAACGUUCACGGUAGGGUUCCCUAUAUACCCUGUCCGUCCACCAUCUCACAGGAUAUCUAGUAAGGCUACGUUCAUCCAUUUACUUAAUCAAACAAUUUUCCAUUUAUCCUUAAUUUCCAAUUUUCUAAUUUAACUAUAAUCACAUAAAAUAAGCAAUACAUGCAUCAAGGAAACACAAUCACAUUAUCAUACCAAUUCCUGUGUAUUAUCAUGCAUUCGAACUUGUAAAAUUCAGGAAAUCAGUUAAACAUAGCAAACAGUAAUAAAUAACUGG
rnacentral:lncRNA from 1 species